GACGAACGCUGGCGGCGUGCCUAACACAUGCAAGUCGAGCGAUGAAGCUCCUUCGGGAGUGAAUUAGCGGCGGACGGGUGAGUAACACGUGGGUAACCUGCCUCAUAGAGGGGAAUAGCCUUCCGAAAGGGAGAUUAAUACCGCAUAACAUAGCACUACCGCAUGGUAGAGUUAUCAAAGGAGCAAUCCGCUAUGAGAUGGACCCGCGGCGCAUUAGCUAGUUGGUGAGGUAACGGCUCACCAAGGCGACGAUGCGUAGCCGACCUGAGAGGGUGAUCGGCCACAUUGGAACUGAGACACGGUCCAGACUCCUACGGGAGGCAGCAGUGGGGAAUAUUGCGCAAUGGGGGAAACCCUGACGCAGCAACGCCGCGUGAUCGAUGAAGGCCUUAGGGUUGUAAAGAUCUUUCAGUGGGGAAGAUAAUGACUGUACCCACAGAAGAAGCCCCGGCUAACUCCGUGCCAGCCGCCGCAGUAA
rnacentral:rRNA from 1 species